rnacentral:rRNA from 1 species
GAUGAACGCUGGCGGCGUGCCUAAUACAUGCAAGUCGAGCGAACAGACGAGGAGCUUGCUCCUCUGAUGUUAGCGGCGGACGGGUGAGUAACACGUGGAUAACCUACCUAUAAGACUGGGAUCACUUCGGGAAACCGGAGCUAAUACCGGAUAACAUGUUGAACCGCAUGGUUCAACAGUGAAAGACGGUCUUGCUGUCACUUCUAGAUGGAUCCGCGCCGCAUUAGCUAGUUGGUAAGGUAACGGCUUACCAAGGCAACGAUGCGUAGCCGACCUGAGAGGGUGAUCGGCCACACUGGAACUGAGACACGCUCCAGACUCCUACGGGAGGCAGCAGUAGGGAAUCUUCCGCAAUGGGCGAAAGCCUGACGGAGCAACGCCGCGUGAGUGAAGAAGGUCUUCGGAUCGUAAAACUCUGUUAUGAGGGAAGAACAAAUGUGUAAGUAACUAUGCACGUCUUGACGGUACCUAAUCAGAAAGCCACGGCUAACUACGUG